GAUGAACGCUGACAGAAUGCUUAACACAUGCAAGUCGAUUCGAUUUACCUUCGGGUAUUGAGGAUGGCGGACGGGUGAGUAACGCGUAAGGAACUUGCCUCUUGGUCUGGGACAACUGUUGGAAACGACAGCUAAUACCGGAUAUUAUGAGAUUCUCGCAUGGGAAACUUAUGAAAGCUAUAUGCGCCAAGAGAGAGCCUUGCGUUCCAUUAGCUAGUUGGUGGGGUAACGGCCCACCAAGGCGACGAUGGAUAGCCGGCCUGAGAGGGUGAACGGCCACAAGGGGACUGAGACACGGCCCUUACUCCUACGGGAGGCAGCAGUGGGGAAUAUUGGACAAUGGGCCACAAGCCUGAUCCAGCAAUUCUGUGUGCACGAUGAAGGUCUUCGGAUUGUAAAGUGCUUUCAGUUGGGAAGAAGAAAGUGACGGUACCAACAGAAGAAGCGACGGCUAAAUACGUGCCAGCAGCCGCGGUAAUACGUAUGUCGCAAGCGUUAUCCGGAUUUAUUGGGCGUAAAGCGCGUCUAGGCGGAAAAAUAAGUCUGAUGUUAAAAUGCGGGGCUCAACUCCGUAUUGCGUUGGAAACUGUUUUUCUAGAGUACUGGAGAGGUGGGCGGAACUACAAGUGUAGAGGUGAAAUUCGUAGAUAUUUGUAGGAAUGCCGAUGGAGAAGUCAGCUCACUGGACAGAUACUGACGCNAAAGCGCGAAAGC
rnacentral:rRNA from 1 species